ensembl:lncRNA
CUUCCUUCUCCUGACACAACCCAACCACGAGCCUUGCCCAAACAAGUUGUUGUUGGGAGGCAUCGAUAGCUAUGGUUAGUCCCAGGGUGGUAAAAACAUCUUGUUUCCUUUCUGCCCAUCCAGGCUCCUCUGGUCUCCCAGCCUGGCCUCCUGUUUGCCUGUUGAGAAAGCUCAGUGCCCUCGUUGAAUCCCUCCCCAGACUUCCCAGAACUGCGGAGCUCUUCUCUGGAAGCGCGAGGAGAAUGCUGUGCUCGUCUGGAAGGUCAAACAUCCUUCUGGGUUCACAGGAGCAGACCUGCCAAGUCAAGGAAAGAUCUGAGAAGCUGUGAGAACUGAUGAAUGUCAGUGCCAAAGGGAGAUAAAGGGAAGAGUUGAACAGCAGGGGAAGAUCUUCUGGACGUGUUUUGAAAGCUGUAACCCUGAUGACUUACUCCAUCUGAUCUGUGAUAUUUAAAGCAUCUUUUUGGUUAGAGAGAGGAAUGCGGGGUUAGAUAAGAGGUAGUUAAGAUAAUAACAGUGACCCAGGUUGCUUGGGCUUGGGCCUGUUCCUGCAAGGUAUAUUUGAACGUCACAUUACAGAUUCAGAGAGAAGCAGAGGUCAUUUGGAUGGUGCAUCACCUCCUGGAGACACUGUGACAUGCCCCAGGACAUGGGAAGGCAGGUGAACUCCAGUAGGCUUCAGUGUGAGAUCCUCAGCUUCUGACAGAAGAGCAAUUUGCCACACUUCUAUCACUGAGGGACCAAGAACAUGUGGACCACUGUUGCAUGCAAGCUCUGUGCUGGCAACAGCCUAUGCUUAGAACCGUGAAAUCAGAAGUAAAUGUUUCCUAGAAAGCUGGCAAAAAGAUGGACAGUAAGGUUAACUCUCACUGGCUUUCAGGAGUCUUGUGUCUUCAUGCCUGGAUGCACAUCAGCCAUUGGGCUCCUCUUUGUGAAUUCAGCCUGCUUGAAAGCAGCAGUGCUGUCCUGCUGUGGGGGUUUGCUCCAUGCACAGCAGAUCUCCUUCUGCAACUCUCCCUCUCCUGCCCAAGUCAGUGGCUGUUUUAUACCUCUCACUACGCGUAAGCAGUCAAUGACCAUUUUCAUUGUCUCAGAUCCUUUGUGCUCCUUCACAGCUUUGGGAGCUUUGCAAGAAAAUAACCUUGGUGCUUGUUGUUUGCACAGAAAUCAGCAGAGGGAAAGUAAUCAAAAGCAUCUUUCUUGGGAUCUGCUGCCAAAGGAGGGAGUUGAAGGAGCUGCCUGCAAAGGAGAGGGGGAAAUAGUACGUGACAGAGGUUUGAUUUGAGUCUGACUUUCACAUAAAUACACAGAAUAAGGAGGUUUGUGUCUCAGCUAUCUCCUCUGCCCAUGGACUGUGAUGGGACUGCCAGGACAACUCCCUCAGCAGUGCUUCAGUAGUCCCCAAAAUAGAGCCUGGAACUGAUGCCUAUAGAGUGUGACCUGGAGAAAUGCUGUUUCUGGAAAUGGAAAGUGUACUGAGCACUGCUGGGUAUUAGAGGAAUUGCAUGGUUCUGGACAGAGCUGGAAGGAGACCGGUGGAGAGCUCUGCACUUGGAGAAGUCCUCCAUGCAUUCAGAAGCUAUGUAAAGUGAAGGACUGUUUCACCUGAUUGAGUGUCUUUUGCAUCCUCCAAACCACCCAGCUCAGUAAAAGUGCAGCCUUCAAUGCAGUCUGGCUGCCAAGAGCGAAGAUAUUUGAGCCAAGUGGUAUUUCAAGAGUCUCUAAAUCUCCUGGACUGAAUCUUUUUCUCAUGUGCUGAGCCACCUUGGCCCCAAGUAUUUUCCAGUCUCCUACAAAAUGCCAUCCUGGUUAUGAUGUUAAACCAGCACUUCUUACACAGCAGCUUAAACCAUUUUACAUUUUCUCAUUGCAAUGAGCUGGCAGUAAACGUCUUGCUUUCCUGCUUCUAAACGUCUCCUCCAAAUCUUCUCUGCUGUCACACUUAAGCAGCUUGGUGAUAAUUUCGUGACUUCCCAUGGAGAAAGGGAAGGGUGUCUGCUUGCUGUGCAAUGAAAGUUUUAAUUUUAUCUGGCAGGUAGGGAGCAUGCUGAGGUUUUCAUUUAACCUUGCAGGAGAAUGACCUGUGUGACUAAUGGAUUUGAGGGGUAGUUGGGAAAAUGUAAAGAACAGAGGUUGCCGUGCUCUGACUUCAUGUUGAGGCCAUCUGGUUUCUGUGGCUCGUGUGAAGUGCAAUUGAAAGCGUGAGGCAAGGAGAGAGGACUGAAGAACCUCGCCAGUGCCUGCCCUGUGUCAGCAAGUUCCUUUGGCUCCCAGUGGUGAUCAUGGGGAGGGUGCCUCAGGUGGGCAAGCGACCCCAAAAAAUGCCUUGUGCUCUUGGGCUGGGUGCCAGCCCAGCAGAGUAUAAGGGCCAUAAAACCCUUAGAUGUGGCCAUGGGAUGUGUCUGGGCUGCCAGAGCUGACCCAAAGUGCCUGUGCUUGUCCCCCUGUUGGAGUCCCCUUGCCCCUUGCUGUUGGCUGCUGAGCUGUCAGAAAUCCUGACUGCUGCCUCCUGCCCUCCCUGCAGGCAGAGGAAAAAAAU